GACGAACGCUGGCGGCGUGCUUAACACAUGCAAGUCGAACGAGUGGCGAAUGGGUGAGUAACACGUGGGUGACCUGCCCUGCACUUCGGGAUAAGCCUGGGGCACUGGUUCUAAUACCGGCUAGUGUGGGAUGGGCCCGCGGCCUAUCAGCUUGUUGGUGGGGUAAUGGCUACCAAGGCGCGACGGGUAGCCGGGCUGAGAGGGUGGCCGGCCACAUUGGGACUGAGACACGGCCCAGACUCCUACGGGAGGCAGCAGUGGGGAAUAUUGCACAAUGGGUGAAAGCCUGAUGCAGCGACGCCGCGUGGGGGAUGACGGCCUUCGGGUUGUAAAGUACUUUCGGCGGGGAGGCGGUACCCGCAGAAGAAGCACCGGCUAACUCCGUGCCAGCAGCCGCGGUAAUUC
rnacentral:rRNA from 1 species